AAUAUGAUUUUUGUAUGAAUGAGGUUGUGGGCAUAGUUUGUUGGCACCUUAAAUAUUUGUUUUAGAAUAUAAUCGUUUGUUCCAUGUAAAUUCAAGCUGAGCACAUAUUUGUUACCUUGUUGCCAUAGAACAAAUCCAGAGAAAAGAAUUUCAUAAUGAUCGAUUUUUAAGGUUAUUUCUGCAUUCUGGUUUGGUCCUCGAUUCUCAAGCAAUUGUUUGGCAACAAUAAAUUCCACACAUUUUUGUUAUAUCACAUAUAAUUACUGGAGAGAGAGUAAUAUACACGGAAAAUAUACAAACACACAUACACACACGGAAAAAUGACUCAUUUGAUUUAGAAACAUAGCAAAUGACAUAUUUGCAACAGCUGUCAGUUUAAAAUGAAACUGAUAAAAACAACUAAAUAAAAAGAAGACGAUCUUUGUGUUGAACUAGUAUGAA